rnacentral:rRNA from 1 species
AUGACUUCACCAUCUACCUUGGCAUCUUUGCCAAGCAACUUCAAGGCAUCUUCGCCUUUGGACAUGCGGCAUCUUCGCCAACAAGCACCCCAAGACUACGCUCAAGAGAAGCUCCCCAAGCUCAAGUCCGCGACUUCCACGAGCUACUACGACCUCGACACCGACCACGAGCUUCCUUUCUAUGGGACUCAAGACCCCGAGGAGUAUCUCGAGUGGGAGCGCAAGAUGGACGACUACCUCAAGCUACAUCAAGUCCCUUCCGAAGAUCAAGUGAAGUGCGCCACAAGUACCUUCCACGACUACGCAUUGAUUUGGUGGCUUCACACACCUUCGACGAACUUCGACAUGAGUUGGACCAAGACGAACAAAGCUAUGCGGCGAGAGUUUUUGCCUUCCACCUAUACGGAACAACUUCAAUGCCAAUUGGAGAACACCAUCCAAGGAUCCAAGUCCAUCGACGAGUACUUCAAGGAGAUGAAGAAAGUCUUGCGACGAGCCGGUGUGGAAGACCCCAUUUGGAUGAAGUUUCACUUCAUGAUGGGAUUGAACAACGACAUCUCCAAGACUAUCUUCCUCGAGAACUACAAGUCCCUCGACGACAACUACAUUGGUGCUCUCAAGGCGGAACAAGAACUCAUAAAGGCCAAGGCUUCUUGA